AUGAUUUGGUCCAAUUUUGCUCGCAGUUCAAAUUUGACCCGCUUCCAGCUGAAUCGGUGGAAAUUUGUCUUUUUCACCAGAAGCGAUUCCAGCAUGGUGGUCGUCGGCUCCGCGGACACCUUCGAGGACAUCCAUGCCAAGGUGCAAGUGGAGAAGCUCCCCGCCGUCUUCUACUACACGGCUGUCUGGUGUGGGUCGUGUCGGGUGAUGGCACCUGUGAUCGAGAAGAUGAGGAGGCAGUACCCCAAGAUACCCGUGUACAAGGUGGACAUCGACAUGGUGAUUAGGGACUUAGGAGCAAUUCUCUUGCUGGUAUGCAUGUAUGCCUCUGCUUUGGUCUUACUGCAUGUGAGCUCGGUUGUCAAGUGUGAAGCCGUGAAGUGUGAAGUCGUCAAGUUCUACUUAGUGAAGAGUAGCAUAUUGUAG
rnacentral:rRNA from 1 species